rnacentral:rRNA from 1 species
AACGAACGCUGGCGGCAUGCCUAACACAUGCAAGUCGAACGAAGCCUUCGGGCUUAGUGGCGCACGGGUGCGUAACGCGUGGGAAUCUGCCCUUGGGUUCGGAAUAACAGUUAGAAAUGACUGCUAAUACCGGAUGAUGUCUUCGGACCAAAGAUUUAUCGCCCAAGGAUGAGCCCGCGUAGGAUUAGGUAGUUGGUGGGGUAAUGGCCCACCAAGCCGACGAUCCUUAGCUGGUCCGAGAGGAGGAUCAGACACACUGGGACUGAGACACGGCCCAGACUCCGACGGGAGGCAGCAGUGGGGAAUAUUGGACAAUGGGCGAAAGCCUGAUCCAGCAAUGCCGCGUGAGUGAUGAAGGCCUUAGGGUUGUAAAGCUCUUUCACCAGGGAUGAUAAUGACAGUACCUGGAGAAUAAGCUCCGGCUAACACCGUGCCAGCCGCCGCCGUAACAC